AAAAAAAUGUGUUGCACUAUUUUAAUAGUUUAGAAUUAUCUGCAUCAACUAAUUAUAGGUAGGUCACAUUCAUUUAAUUAGGAAUCUUUAAAACUAGGAACAUUUUUCACUUUCCUUUUCAUGAGUUGAAGACUUAGUGAUUUCAAAGGUUUUCCUACCUUAACAUCCAAAGACUCUGCUUCUUUUGCCACACAAGGUGCUGCGAAUCCUGCCCCCCGAAGCCAAAAUGUAUUGUGUUACUAAAAAUUGCUAGAGAGACUCUGGGAGCUUCACAGAAAACCCCCAAAUCUUGUCAAAUUUGCAUUGUCUCUUGUUGAUUAUUUUAUUCUUAUUAAUCCAUCAGGAUAUUUGUCCCCACCUACUCACUAAGACAGAGGACCUCAAUCGUCCUUCAACAACAUCUGGAGCUGGGGCUGGAAGAAAUCCCUUGGGGCCUCCAAGCUUGCUGCCCAGGAAAGAAGAACCACAGUUUCCUCUGUGGCUGGCUGGAUCAGCCAACGCUGUCCCUCACUCUGUCCGUAAUGGUCAGUCAGCCAAGGAAAGAGUCUCUAGUUUGGCCUACUCAUCUGCACCAAAAAAUAUCAAGAAGUUUUAUUCAAGCAGAGCUAACACUAUCAGCAAGUAUCAUUCUAAAGCCAAUAUGGUGCAUGACAAUAGGAAUCACAACAAGCAAUGUCAAAGCAAAGUGAGACACAAGGGGAGAGAGUUGCUUUCAACAAUCUAGAUACAUCUUCACUUCAAAGAUAGAUUUUGACCAAAUUGCUCUGGAAUGCCCCCUAGGCAUCAGGGGAUUUUAAGGUUCUGCCAGGUUGAGAAUACUGGACUACAGAGUCUAACACUGAGAGGCUACAGGGCUUUGCAGCAAAAUCAAGGUAAAGGCAAGGUAAUCAUUUGUAAACGUAACAUAUUUACCACUGGGCUUUGGGAGCAGUUUUAUCCCAUUCUCAUCUCAUGCUAAAUUUGGAGUCAGUUAAAAAGUACUAAAGAAAACGCUUUUUAUUUACCUUAUUUAAACCUUCUAUAAUGUCUAUAGUACACUGAUUUUACAAGUGGAAAACAGGUAUAGAGAGAUUAGGCAUUUUCACAGUACCUAGGGCACAUGGGAGGGUGUUAUACUCAUACCACUAAUUGAUAUACAUUUCUCUUGGCACUUAGGAUCUAGGCAUAAACAUGUAUUAGAUGCAUAUUUCAUCACUUAGACUGUAAGCUCUUCAUCACCUGUUAUUUUAAUCAUUCGUUUAUGUAUUUAUACAUUCAUUCAUGCAUCGUGUCGACAAGAAAUUAAUAGUCAAUCUAAGGAAGAAAUGGAAAAUUGUUUUCAGGCCAAUUUGAGGUUUAUAAACCUGGGGAAAGCUCUGAGUGUUGGGGCCAGUGUGAGGGAAGCAGGAGAGACUCCAUACUGAAUCGUGUCAUGCGUCUUACAGACAGGAUGUGAACUGGGCCUGAACCCUGCCCAGGAGUGAGGAAACUUGCUAGUGAAAACCAGGUCUCCUGGAGACUUCCUUCCCUGCAGAUGGCAAAGGGAGAUUGUAGUUGAGGUCAGGCUGCCCCUGUUAGAUUCAUCAUGGAGACAUCCCCCUUUGAUGUAUAAUCAUUGUUCCCCUCUCUUUAACCUUAAUUGUUUGUUCUCCUAGCACCUACUUGUUGUAAAACUCAGUCCUAUACAACAAAGAGGUUGCUAACAAGUAACAAGUCACGUGGGCAGGGUGGGGGUGUAUAAAACUGGGCCCCUCAGAAACAUCAGGGUCCUUGUUGGGAACUGAUUCCCCUUGGACUCACUGGCGUAAUAAACUGUACUCCACUGUGUUUUGCGACUCUGGAUUCCGCAACAUGAGGAGUGGUCUCCCUGUUGAGGGCAAAGCACAAUUAUAUACUAUACGUUUUUGAGACAAAGGGUUAUACAUCAAAUGAUGCAUUGACAGUUUAUACAGUCCAGAUAUGCGCUUUCAAAGUGAGUAGGGAGUCAUCGUGGCCCCUUACAGGAUUGCGGUGGAAGGUUAUCUCCUAAAGAGGUCUGGUUACUGUGCAGGCACAAUACACACUAAAGGAGAGGGGGGACCAGCAGACAAAAUCCUUAUGUUUAAAUUUUUCUUGUCUUGCCAAUAAAGUAUGAAUUUUCUUUUUUUUUUUUUUGAGUCAUAACGGGCUGCAGUGGUGAACUAGACUGACAUCAGGGUCCCAAUCUUAGUGAGCUGGGGUCCGUGGAAGGCACAGGAGGAAGACCAGGCAAUUAACAUAAAAUUAACAUAAAACAAGAGCUUGAAGGCGGUAAUUUACAAAGAUGGAGAGCUACCUUAUCUUUAGGUGGGGAAGAG
ensembl:lncRNA